rnacentral:lncRNA from 1 species
CACUGAGAGGGGUAACUUGACACUGUGCCAGAGGAGGGGGUCACUCAGUAAGGGGUAACUUGAUACUGUGCCAGAGGAGGGGCUCACUGAGUGAGGGAUAACUUGUCACUGUGCCAGAGGAGGGGGUCACUCAGUGAUGGCUAACUUUUCACUGUGCCAGAGGAGGGGGUCACUGAGUGAGGGGUAACUUGACACUGUGCUGUAGGAUGGGGUCACUGAGUAAGGGGUAACUUCACACGGCGCCACGGGAAAGGGAAUGACUGUAAUGGAGUGAUGGGUAACUGUGUACUUUGUCACUGUGCCUGGGGCUUGCGGUUCAUUGCUACAGAGUGAGGUGUGCCCUGGGGGUUACUGCAACCAAGUGAGGUCUACCUUGUCUCUGUGCGGGGGCUUCAGAAUCACUGUGCCAGAAGAGAGGGUCACUGUAACCGAGUGAGGAUUAACUUGUCACAGUGGCGGGGGUGUCACUGUAACAGAGCGAGGAGUAACCUGUCACUGUACCAGGAGAGAGUGGUCACUGCAAUGGAGUGAGGGUAUCUUGUCACUGUGCCAGAGGGGUGCUCACUUUAUUGUAGUGAGGUGUAGCUUAUCACUGUGCUCAUGGGAUUUGGGAUCACUGUGACUGAGUGAGGGGUACCUUUUUACUGUGCCAGGGGAAGGGGGUCACUGUAUCGGAUUGAGGUGCACUUUGUUACUGUGCCAUUGGACUUGGUGUCACUGUAACCGAGUGAGGAGUACCUUGUCACUGUGCCUAGCCACCUCACCAUGGCCAUCCCACCAUCUCCCCAGCAGCAGAGCCAGGGACAGAAUGCAGGCGGUAUCUUAUCCUAGUGGCAGUUUGAGAGCAAGGUAGUGGAGUUAGCUGAUCUCUCUCCCCAGCAACAGAUGGCAUACCAUAGAGAUGGGUAAGUUGACAACCCUCCCAAGCAGCAGAGCAUGUGUCCAGAACAGGGUGCACACAGCACCCCUCAACAGCGGCAGUGUGAGCUCCCGGAACAGGAGGUAGUCUGACUUCCUCCCCACCAGCAGGCAUGUAUCAAAGAGAGGGUGCUUCUCAGCAGCAGAGUAAGAUUCAGAGAGAUGAGGUAGUCGGCCAGAUCCACAAUCAUCUGACAUGGGAACUUUGACCACCCCAUUAUCUCCCUAGCAACUCUAGUAACCCCAGACAGAAGGAGUAGUCGACUCUUCUCUCCAGCAGCAGGUGUCCCCUGAGUUUGGGGUUAGCUGGGAAAGUGCCCUACUGCUAGCUGUGGUUUUGGUUCAACUGUAUUUUAACACUAGAUGUAUGAAGUAGGAACUGUUGACUAAUUAGUAAGUAAGCUCGUUCUUAGUCUCCUUUUAAAAGGGGGAUAAAUAUGAUGGAUACCACUUUGCACUGGGGUUUUGGGCAACCUGGAUCGCCUUUUUGGAAGGCUGGGUCAAGAGGAACCACUGGGUCAGACACCAUCAUCCAACUUUUUCCAUGGAUCUGGUAGUUUUGGGCCCACCAGCAUAAGUAUCUGUUUGGUGGUAGGUUUGGGGUGUGUGGGCAAGGUGAAGACAGAGUUUCUCAUUUAUUUACCUCCUUUUAUGUCUGUAAUCCUGUGUCUGAUUUGAAGAAGUCUGAUUGUCUUAUUAUGUGGACCUCUAUUCACUGGGAAUCUGUUAUAGGGUAAAUACAUGUUUGGAGAUGGAGGGCAUUGUAUCUUGUGCAGUGUUUGUUUUAGUUAUUGUAUGGUACUUUUGGAAGAUGUUGUUUCCUUUCUUAGGUGAAUAGCACAUUGUAUGUACAUAAUGUAUUCUAUGACUCACUAUUGUUUGCCAAGUAUGUUUUCUGGUAUUACUACAUGUGUGUUUCCACAAUAAAGUCAGUCUUACUUUCACCCUUAA